ensembl:lncRNA
CUAAGUUCCCCUCCACAAUGCUCCACACCACCCCCAGUCCCCCGUUGUACCCACAGAAGCCUCUUUUCCCUCUUUUUCCACCCCACAACUCCCUCUCUUUGCCCCCAGACCUCUUUUCCACCCCAUAGAAGCCCCCCAGAACCCCUCAGUUUCUCCCUUUCACGCCUCCCUCCACCUCCAGACCCCCUUUCCACCCCACAGAAGUCCCAUUCACACCUUCCCUCCUAGAUUCCCCGCAACCCUCCUCUCCACCCCGACUUUCCUUCCACGCCAUGGAAGCCCCACUAACCCUUUUCUUCCCCCCCACAACCCCCCUGUCCAGCACUGGAGUCAUCCAGAAGGAACUAGAGGUGUCCCAGAAGGGUCUUGGGGGUGGCCAGGGUGUCCCCAAGUGGAUCUAGAGGGUCAUUGGAUUAAUCCAGAAGGGUCUGGAGAUGUCCUGGUGGGGUCUUGGGGUGUCCAGGGGGUCUCCCCCUUUUGACUAGCAGACAGGUUAGGAAUUUCCAAAAGGAAAUGAAUUCCUUAACUGAGGAUCCUAUAAGAGGAGCAGAACAGUUAGAUCAAUUUGUGGAGCCUAAUUUCCUCUCAGGGAUGGCAAUGAUGUUUCUCAUGGGUAUGUUGUUUACUGGAGAAGAAGGAGGUGCAAUUCGGUGGGCAGCUGUGCAAGAGUGGGAAAGGAGUACAGAAGAAAGGUCGGG